rnacentral:snRNA from 1 species
GUGCUCGCUUCGGCCGCACAUAUACUAAAAUUGAAUACAGAGAAGAUUAGCAUGGAAGGAAGGUUUGUCUCUAGCUGCAUAUGUCGCCAUAUUU